UGGAGAGAGAGUCAAACAGUACGUGAAACCGUUGGGAGGGAAACGAACGAGGUUGGUGCAGUGAUUGCGCAGGCUCAGGUUCCGCCGAAGGUGCCGUCAGGGUGACCCACGUGUCCCCGGGCGUCCGCCGGAGGCAGAGCCGUACUCCUCGCGAUCACGGACCAGUGGCGGUUGGAGUGGGGCCAUAAGGCUGCCGGGACGGUAUGUCGAGUCGGGUUCGCCCGCUGGACAACCUAUAGACCGGCUUCUCGGUGCUCCACUCCGACCGAGGAAGGAGGGCAGCUCUUGCCCGGUGUGGUGCACGCCGUAUGGCGGGGCCUCCCGUCGAGGGCGAGCCGUGCAGGGUUGACUGCGUGCAGUGCUCACUGUCACGGCAGACCCGCGGUCGGAGAGCGUCACUUGUGCACCAGUGCUGCUGGUAUUCGGACGGCCUCGUCCGACCCGUCUG
rnacentral:rRNA from 2 species